rnacentral:rRNA from 1 species
GACGAACGCUGGCGGCGUGCUUAACACAUGCAAGUCGAACGGAAAGGCCCUGCUUUUGUGGGGUGCUCGAGUGGCGAACGGGUGAGUAACACGUGAGUAACCUGCCCUUGACUUUGGGAUAACUUCAGGAAACUGGGGCUAAUACCGGAUAGGAGCUCCUGCUGCAUGGUGGGGGUUGGAAAGUUUCGGCGGUUGGGGAUGGACUCGCGGCUUAUCAGCUUGUUGGUGGGGUAGUGGCUUACCAAGGCUUUGACGGGUAGCCGGCCUGAGAGGGUGACCGGCCACAUUGGGACUGAGAUACGGCCCAGACUCCUACGGGAGGCAGCAGUGGGGAAUAUUGCACAAUGGGCGGAAGCCUGAUGCAGCAACGCCGCGUGCGGGAUGACGGCCUUCGGGUUGUAAACCGCUUUCGCCUGUGACGAAGCGUGAGUGACGGUAAUGGGUAAAGAAGCACCGGCUAACUACGUGCCAGCAGCCGCGGUGAUACGUAGGGUGCGAGCGUUGUCCGGAUUUAUUGGGCGUAAAGGGCUCGUAGGUGGUUGAUCGCGUCGGAAGUGUAAUCUUGGGGCUUAACCCUGAGCGUGCUUUCGAUACGGGUUGACUUGAGGAAGGUAGGGGAGAAUGGAAUUCCUGGUGGAGCGGUGGAAUGCGCAGAUAUCAGGAGGAACACCAGUGGCGAAGGCGGUUCUCUGGGCCUUUCCUGACGCUGAGGAGCGAAAGCGUGGGGAGCGAACAGGCUUAGAUACCCUGGUAGUCCACGCUGUAAACGGUGGGUACUAGGUGUGGGGUCCAUUCCACGGGUUCCGUGCCGUAGCUAACGCUUUAAGUACCCCGCCUGGGGAGUACGGCCGCAAGGCUAAAACUCAAAGGAAUUGACGGGGCCCCGCACAAGCGGCGGAGCAUGCGGAUUAAUUCGAUGCAACGCGUAGAACCUUACCUGGGUUUGACAUGGAUCGGGAGUGCUCAGAGAUGGGUGUGCCUCUUUUGGGGUCGGUUCACAGGUGGCACAUGGCUGUCGUCAGCUCGUGUCGUGAGAUGUUGGGUUAAGUCCCGCAACGAGCGCAACCCUUGUUCACUGUUGCCAGCACGUUAUGGUGGGGACUCAGUGGAGACCGCCGGGGUCAACUCGGAGGAAGGUGGGGAUGACGUCAAGUCAUCAUGCCCCUUAUGUCCAGGGCUUCACGCAUGCUACAAUGGCUGGUACAGAGAGUGGCGAGCCUGUGAGGGUGAGCGAAUCUCGGAAAGCCGGUCUCAGUUCGGAUUGGGGUCUGCAACUCGACCUCAUGAAGUCGGAGUCGCUAGUAAUCGCAGAUCAGCAACGCUGCGGUGAAUACGUUCCCGGGGCUUGUACACACCGCCCGUCAAGUCAUGAAAGUUGGUAACACCCGAAGCCGGUGGCCUAACCGUUGUGGGGGAGCCGUCGAAGGUGGGACUAGUGA